CCUACGGGUGGCUGCAGUCGAGAAUCAUUCACAAUGGGGGAAACCCUGAUGGUGCGACGCCGCGUGGGGGAAUGAAGGUCUUCGAAUUGUAAACCCCUUUCAUGUGGGAGCAAAUUAAAAAGAUAGUACCACAAGAGUAAGAGACUGCUAACUCUGUGCCAGCAGCCGCGGUAAUGCAGAGGUCUCAAGCGUUGUUCGGAAUCACUGGGCGUAAAGCGUGCGUAGGCGGUUUUGUAAGUCGUGUGUGAAAGCUGCGGGCUCAACCGGCGGACGGCAUAUGAAACUGCGAGACUAGAGUAAAGGAGGGGGAACCGGAAUUCUCGGUGUAGCAGUGAAAUGCGUAGAUAUCGAGAGGAACACUCGUGGCGAAGGCGGGUUCCUGGACAGUAACUGACGCUGAGGCACGAAGGCCAGGGGAGCGAAAGGGAUUAGAUACCCUGGUAGUC
rnacentral:rRNA from 1 species